UGGGAACGCGCCUGGAGCAUUAGUAUUUCUAUCGUUUAUGUGCUGUGCCAGUUAACACCUACAUCGCGUGGUAACCAUGAUGCAACAUGCGUUACUAUAUUUUCACAAAUAAAACCUUGUUUGAAAUAGCUUUAUUAUAUUAGAGGAAUUUACUUGUCCAUGAACCAUUAAAAAUUUGACGCCGAAGGCUUUGUUACUUUUUAUUGUUUUCCCCCCUAAAUAGUACAAAAGAGGAUGGAAGAUCACAAGUCUUGUAGGGAUUAAAACUACUGGGCUGUUCUAAGGGCGGUUUUGUGUGUAGCUUGUCAUUGUAUUACACAUGAUGUUUCAUAUAUGUCUAGGGAAUACAGUGGAAGAGUAAAAGAAAAAGCAGUCGACGGAGCAAAACUACAAAAGCUUGCCUCUCUCAAAUACGAGAACGCAAACCAACUCUUCAAAGAGGAUUGGGAGAUGGACGAAGUUGAUGCCGCUACGUUUGCCGAAAAAUUGAGGAAAAUAGACAGAAAUGUCGACAUCACGCAAAAUGCACAGGCCUGGGAAGAUAAAAAUGUGAUCAAGUCAAACAUUUGUAUUUUGUUUUGAAUUAAAAAAAGUUGAGUCUGAAA